rnacentral:rRNA from 1 species
GACGAACGCUGGCGGCGUGCUUAACACAUGCAAGUCGAACGGAAAGGCCCUGCUUUUGUGGGGUGCUCGAGUGGCGAACGGGUGAGUAACACGUGAGUAACCUGCCCUUGACUUUGGGAUAACUUCAGGAAACUGGGGCUAAUACCGGAUAGGAGCUCCUGCUGCAUGGUGGGGGUUGGAAAGUUUCGGCGGUUGGGGAUGGACUCGCGGCUUAUCAGCUUGUUGGUGGGGUAGUGGCUUACCAAGGCUUUGACGGGUAGCCGGCCUGAGAGGGUGACCGGCCACAUUGGGGCUGAGAUACGGCCCAGACUCCUACGGGAGGCAGCAGUGGGGAAUAUGGCACAAUGGGCGGAAGCCUGAUGCAGCAACGCCGCGUGCGGGAGGACGGCCUUCGGGUUGUAAACCGCUUUCGCCUGUGACGAAGCGUGAGUGACGGUAAUGGGUAAAGAAGCACCGGCUAACUACGU